GAUGAACGCUAGCGGCAGGCUUAACACAUGCAAGUCGAGGGGCAGCACGUCUUCGGAUGGUGGCGACCGGCGCACGGGUGCGUAACGCGUAUAGAACCUACCUUUUACAGGGGAAUAGCCCAGAGAAAUUUGGAUUAAUGCCCCAUAGUAUUAUUAGAUGGCAUCAUUUGAUAAUUAAACAUUUAUGGGUAAAAGAAUGGCUAUGCGUUCUAUUAGCUAGAUGGUAAGGUAACGGCUUACCAUGGCGACGAUAGAUAGGGGUCCGUGAGAGGGAGGAUCCCCCACCACUGGUACUGAGACACGGACCAGACUCCUACGGGAGGGCAGCAGUGA
rnacentral:rRNA from 1 species